AUUGAACGCUGGCGGCAUGCCUUACACAUGCAAGUCGAACGGCAGCGGGGACUUCGGUCCGCCGGCGAGUGGCGAACGGGUGAGUAAUAUAUCGGAACGUACCUUUCAGUGGGGGAUAACGUAGCGAAAGUUACGCUAAUACCGCAUAUUCUGUGAGCAGGAAAGCAGGGGAUCGCAAGACCUUGCGCUGAUUGAGCGGCCGAUAUCAGAUUAGCUAGUUGGUGAGGUAAAGGCUCACCAAGGCGACGAUCUGUAGCGGGUCUGAGAGGAUGAUCCGCAACACUGGGACUGAGACACGGCCCAGACUCCUACGGGAGGCAGCAGUGGGGAAUUUUGGACAAUGGGGGCAACCCUGAUCCAGCCAUGCCGCGUGAGUGAAGAAGGCCUUCGGGUUGUAAAGCUCUUUCGGCCGGGAAGAAAUCGCGCAGGCUAAUACCCUGUGUGGAUGACGGUACCGGAAUAAGAAGCACCGGCUAACUACGUGCCAGCAGCCGCCGUAA
rnacentral:rRNA from 1 species